GUGGGGAAUAUUGGACAAUGGGGGGAACCCUGAUCCAGCCAUGCCGCGUGUGUGAAGAAGGCCUUUUGGUUGUAAAGCACUUUAAGCGAGGAGGAGGCUACCGAGAUUAAUACUCUUGGAUAGUGGACGUUACUCGCAGAAUAAGCACCGGCUAACUCUGUGCCAGCAGCCGCGGUAAUACAGAGGGUGCAAGCGUUAAUCGGAUUUACUGGGCGUAAAGCGCGCGUAGGUGGCCAAUUAAGUCAAAUGUGAAAUCCCCGAGCUUAACUUGGUAAUUGCAUUCGAUACUGGUUGGCUAGAGUAAGGGAGAGGAGGGUAGAAUUCCAGGUGUAGCGGUGAAAUGCGUAGAGAUCUGGAGGAAUACCGAUGGCGAAGGCAGCCAUCUGGCCUAAUACUGACACUGAGGUGCGAAAGCAUGGGGAGCAAACAGGAUUAGAAACCCUUGUAGUCC
rnacentral:rRNA from 1 species